rnacentral:rRNA from 1 species
CAGUAGCCACGGUAAUACAGAGGGUGCAAGCGUUAAUCGGAAUUACUGGGCGUAAAGCGCGCGUAGGUGGUUUGUUAAGUUGGAUGUGAAAGCCCCGGGCUCAACCUGGGAACUGCAUCCAAAACUGGCAAGCUAGAGUACGGUAGAGGGUGGUGGAAUUUCCUGUGUAGCGGUGAAAUGCGUAGAUAUAGGAAGGAACACCAGUGGCGAAGGCGACCACCUGGACUGAUACUGACACUGAGGUGCGAAAGCGUGGGGAGCAAACAGGAUUAGAUACCCCGGUAGUCCCUGUCUCUUAUAA